AUUCCAGCUCCAAUAGCGUACAUUAAAGUUGUUGCAGUUAAAAAGCUCGUAGUUGGAUUUCUGGUGUCGCAGUGCUUCCGCGUGUUUAAUUACAUGUCGAGUUGUGUUUGCGUCGCCAUCUUUUAGCAGCACCUUCCUGGCAUUAGGUUGUUGGGUUGGUAAUGCUAAUCGUUUACUGUGAAGAAAUUAGAGUGUUCAAAGCAGGCUUAUGCCGUUGAAUACGUUAGCAUGGAAUAAUAGCAUUGGACCUCGAUUCUAAGCUGUUGGUUGCCAGAAGCGAGGUAAUGAUGAAGAGGGAUAGUUGGGGGCAUUCGUAUUUAACUGUCAGAGGUGAAAUUCUUGGAUUUGUUAAAGACGGACUACUGCGAGAGCAUUUGCCAAGGAUGUUUUCAUUA
rnacentral:rRNA from 1 species